rnacentral:rRNA from 1 species
UACGUAGGGUGCAAGCGUUAAUCGGAAUUACUGGGCGUAAAGCGUGCGCAGGCGGUUAUGUAAGACAGUUGUGAAAUCCCCGGGCUCAACCUGGGAACUGCAUCUGUGACUGCAUAGCUAGAGUACGGUAGAGGGGGAUGGAAUUCCGCGUGUAGCAGUGAAAUGCGUAGAUAUGCGGAGGAACACCGAUGGCGAAGGCAAUCCCCUGGACCUGUACUGACGCUCAUGCACGAAAGCGUGGGGAGCAAACGAGG